rnacentral:rRNA from 1 species
GAAGGGAGCGAGCGUUAUUCGGAAUCACUGGGCGUAGAGGGCGUGUAGGCGGUUUAUUAAGUCAGUUGUUAAAGGCCAUGGCUUACCUAUGGAACGGCAAUUGAUACUGGUGAACUAAGAGGGCAAGAGAGAGAAGUGGAAUUCUCGGAGUAGCGGUAAAAUGCGUAGAUCUCGAGAGGAACACCGGUGGCGAAGGCGACUUUCUGGACCGACACUGACACUGAGGCGCGAAAGCUAGGGGAGCAAACGGGGGAUUAGAUACCCCGGUAGUCCUAGCUGUAAACGAUGGGCACUUGGUGUAGGGGGUAUCGACCCCUCCUGUGCCCGAAGCUAACGCAUUAAGUGCCCCCGCCUGGGGGAGUACGGUCGCAAGGCUG